CAGUAGCCACGGGAAUACAGAGGGUGCGAGCGUUAAUCGGAUUUACUGGGCGUAAAGCGUGCGUAGGCGGCUAAUUGAGUCGGAUGUGAAAUCCCCGAGCUUAACUUGGGAACUGCAUUUGUGACUGGCGAGCUAGAGUAUGGCAGAGGGGGGUAGAAUUCCACGUGUAGCAGUGAAAUGCGUAGAGAUGUGGAGGAAUACCGAUGGCGAAGGCAGCCCCCUGGGCCAAUACUGACGCUCAUGCACGAAAGCGUGGGGAGCAAACAGGAUUAGAUACCCCGGUAGUCCCUGUCUCUUAUAC
rnacentral:rRNA from 1 species